CAUGGAGAACGUACUGCAAAGUAUUAGGGGAUGGCAGUAUAAUACAGGUUAGCAUUUCUAUGUGUGUAAUAUUUGUGUUCUUGCCUGGCUGUCAGCACCUAUAUUAGGACAUGUAAUAAUCUUGAAUGUAGUUGGUUCAUUUUAACAAAAGAUGAUUUUAUUAAUCACUGAUAAAUACAACAUAUUCCUCUUUACAAUUAGGUACUGCCUAAAUCUUGCUAUAUCUAUUUUUUCAGCAUUCUGGGGAAACCUUGUUUCCAAACCUCCAGUUGAUUUCAGACAAUAGGUUGAGCUUCCCUGUGUGGCUGGGUCUCUCCAGGCGCAUUUCCCGGCAGUUUCCAAGAUAAGAGUGCCUCUGAACUGAGAGAAGAGUUCUCCUCUCUGACCUUCCUGGAGAACCAAAUUUUAAUGGGUCUUCGAAC